CGUACGGCAGCGCGAGAGAGCUUGCUCUCUUGGCGGCGAGUGGCGGACGGGUGAGUAAUAUAUCGGAACGUGCCCAGUAGCGGGGGAUAACUACUCGAAAGAGUGGCUAAUACCGCAUACGCCCUACGGGGGAAAGGGGGGGAUCGCAAGACCUCUCACUAUUGGAGCGGCCGAUAUCGGAUUAGCUAGUUGGUGGGGUAAAGGCUCACCAAGGCAACGAUCCGUAGCUGGUUUGAGAGGACGACCAGCCACACUGGGACUGAGACACGGCCCAGACUCCUACGGGAGGCAGCAGUGGGGAAUUUUGGACAAUGGGGGAAACCCUGAUCCAGCCAUCCCGCGUGUAUGAUGAAGGCCUUCGGGUUGUAAAGUACUUUUGGCAGAGAAGAAAAGGUAUCCCCUAAUACGGGAUACUGCUGACGGUAUCUGCAGAAUAAGCACCGGCUAACUACGUGCCAGCAGCCGCGGUAAUACGUAGGGUGCAAGCGUUAAUCGGAAUUACUGGGCGUAAAGCGUGUGUAGGCGGUUCGGAAAGAAAGAUGUGAAAUCCCAGGGCUCAACCUUGGAACUGCAUUUUUAACUGCCGAGCUAGAGUAUGUCAGANGGGGGGUAGAAUUCCACGUGUAGCAGUGAAAUGCGUAGAUAUGUGGAGGAAUACCGAUGGCGAAGGCAGCCCCCUGGGAUAAUACUGACGCUCAGACACGAAAGCGUGGGGAGCAAACAGGAUNAGAUACCCUGGUAGUCCACGCCCUAAACGAUGUCAACUAGCUGUUGGGGCCGUUAGGCCUUAGUAGCGCAGCUAACGCGUGAAGUUGACCGCCUGGGGAGUACGGUCGCAAGAUUAAAACUCAAAGGAAUUGACGGGGACCCGCACNAGCGGUGGAUGAUGUGGAUUAAUUCGAUGCAACGCGAAAAACCUUACCUACCCUUGACAUGUCUGGAAAGCCGAAGAGAUUUGGCCGUGCUCGCAAGAGAACCGGAACACAGGUGCUGCAUGGCUGUCGUCAGCUCGUGUCGUGAGAUGUUGGGUUAAGUCCCGCAACGAGCGCAACCCUUGUCAUUAGUUGCUACGCAAGAGCACUCUAAUGAGACUGCCGGUGACAAACCGGAGGAAGGUGGGGAUGACGUCAAGUCCUCAUGGCCCUUAUGGGUAGGGCUUCACACGUCAUACAAUGGUCGGGACAGAGGGUCGCCAACCCGCGAGGGGGAGCCAAUCUCAGAAACCCGAUCGUAGUCCGGAUCGCAGUCUGCAACUCGACUGCGUGAAGUCGGAAUCGCUAGUAAUCGCGGAUCAGAAUGUCGCGGUGAAUACGUUCCCGGGUCUUGUACACACCGCCCGUCACACCAUGGGAGUGGGUUUCACCAGAAGUAGGUAGCCUAAC
rnacentral:rRNA from 1 species